rnacentral:rRNA from 1 species
UGAACGCUGGCCGGCGUGCCUAACACAUGCAAGUCGAACGAGAACGGCCCUAGCUUGCUAGGGUGUCAGCUCAGUGGCGCACGGGUGAGUAAUGUAUAGGUAACAUGCCCCUCGGAGGGGGAUAACGGCUGGAAACGGCCGCUAAUACCCCAUACUCCUUUGCAGCGGAAGCUGUAGAGGGAAACCGGUGUAUUCUGCCCGAGGGAUUGGCCUGUAUCGUAUCAGCUAGUUGGUGGGGUAACGGCCUACCAAGGCGAUGACGCGUAGCCUGGUCUGAGAGGAUGAUCAGCCACACUGGAACUGAGACACGGUCCAGACUCCUACGGGAGGCAGCAGUGGGGAAUAUUGCGCAAUGGGGGGAACCCUGACGCAGCAACGCCGCGUGGAGGAUGACGCAUUUCGGUGUGUAAACUCCUUUUCUGCCGGAAGAUGAUGACGGUAUGGCAGGAAUAAGCACCGGCUAACUCCGUGCCAGCANCCGCGGUAAUACGGAGGGUGCAAGCGUUACUCGGAAUCACUGGGCGUAAAGCGCGCGCAGGCGGCUAUUUAAGUUGGAUGUGAAAGCCUACGGCUCAACCGUAGAACUGCAUCCAAAACUAUUUAGCUAGAGUGUGGGAGAGGAAGAUGGAAUUAGUUGUGUAGGGGUAAAAUCCGUAGAGAUAACUAGGAAUACCAAAAGCGAAGGCAAUCUUCUGGAACACUACUGACGCUGAGGCGCGAAGGCGUGGGGAGCAAACAGGAUUAGAUACCCUGGUAGUCCACGCAGUAAACGAUGAAUGUUAGUCGUCGGGGGCCUAGUGUCUUCGGUGAUGCAGCUAACGCAUUAAACAUUCCGCCUGGGGAGUACGGUCGCAAGAUUAAAACUCAAAGGAAUAGACGGGGACCCGCACAAGUGGUGGAGCAUGUGGUUUAAUUCGAAGAUACGCGAAGAACCUUACCUAGCCUUGACAUAUUUUAGAACUCCGUAGAGAUACAGAGGUGCCUUCGGGAGCUAAUAUACAGGUGCUGCACGGCUGUCGUCAGCUCGUGUCGUGAGAUGUUGGGUUAAGUCCCGCAACGAGCGCAACCCUCGUCACUAGUUACUAACGGUUCGGCCGAGGACUCUAGUGAGACUGCCUU